GACGAACGCUGGCGGCGUGCUUAACACAUGCAAGUCGAACGAGUGGCGAACGGGUGAGUAACACGUGGGUGAUCUGCCUUUCACUUCGGGAUAAUCUUGGGAAACUGGGUCUAAUACCCGCUAGUGCAAGAUGAGCCCGCCGCCUAUUAGCUUGUUGGUGGGGUAAAGGCUACCAAGGCGCGAUCCGUACCGGGUCUGAGAGGAUGAUCAGUCACACUGGAACUGAGACACGGUCCAGACUCCUACGGGAGGCAGCAGUGGGGAAUAUUGGACAAUGGGCGCAAGCCUGAUCCAGCCAGGCCGCGUGUGUGAAGAAGGUCUUCGGAUUGUAAAGCACUUUAAGUUGGGAGGCGUUACCAACAGAAUAAGCACCGGCUAACUUCGUGCCAGCAGCCGCGGUAAUUC
rnacentral:rRNA from 1 species